GUGUUAAACUUUAAAGUUGAAUAGUCGUAAAUUUAUAGGGAAUAAUAAAUCUAUUUCUAUUUUAUUAUAUAUUAUUUUAUAUUUUAGAUCCUGGUCUUGGCUGAAAUUUAGAGUAUUGCAGCUGUAGUCUGUAUACCAUGCACUCAACAUGAAAAGGACUGUCAGGAUGCUGCAUAAAAUGGUCUUAGGUAGAGCCUAGAAUAUUAAUUUCUUGGGAAUAUGCUGCAGUUUUUCUUACCAAUCAUAGAAGCAGUAAGAGACAGCCAAAGAAGUACUCAAAAACCUGACAUACCCAGAAAGAUCUAGAAGAAAAGAUUGGAAGAGAUUGUAGCUUAAUUGUUAAAACUGUUAAAGUGAAUUUAAGCUCCACUUGAACUGUAUUUUUUAAAUAAAAUAUCUGAAGCAUUUAA